AAUGUAAUUCGUGAAAGAAAGGUAACAGGUGACAAUACUUUUGCCUUUUAUUCCAGCUGCGUGAGCGUCUACGGAGCCCGAACAGGGAGUCAACAGUCAGCUACUGUCAGAUCUCGAAAAUGCGGGUUCUUUUAUGACCACCAUGGAUCCCUCACCCCAAGUCAUGAUCCAGUUGCUGAAUGUCCACAAGAAAAUUUAUGUAUUAAAGGGACCUCAUUCCCCAAGCUACUCGACGAAAAAUAAAAUGUAUGCAUGCGCCAAUGAAUUCCAAAAAUUAAUCCUCAUGUGUGUCCAAAUAUUUUGUCUGAGAAGUCCGAAUGUUCAGUGUUGGAAAAGUAUACCUCCCGCUGAUAGAACAAGGGAAAGAUCAUUUCGUUGAUGGCGAGUUCACACUGAUGCUGAUCACCGGCGCGCGUUGGCAGUGUCAUGCUGCUUGGUCGGCACUGCAACUACACAGCUAAACAGGAGAUGAUAGCGUCUCAAACUGGACUUUUUGAUCAUUUGAUAAACGUUUGGAAAUUCAAGCGUGGUCCUCUUCUGCAACCUAUGACCUAUUACUUCUUAAUUUAUGGACUAUAAGUUUCAGUCAUCCCUAUAUCGUCAGGUAAUAUAACAAGGUUG